rnacentral:sRNA from 1 species
CUUGCGAGGCUCCGCUUCUGCAAGUAUGGAGAAGGCAAAAGGCAAGGAGUGGACCUCCACAGAGAAGUCGAGGGAAGAGGAUCAGCAGGCUUCUAAUGAACCAAAUACAAUUGCUUUGCCAGGAACAUCAGCAAAGAGAACCAAAGAAAAAAUGUCUGUCAAAGGCAAUAAAGUGCUCUGCCCUAAGAAAAAGGCAGAGCACACUGACAACCCCAGACCUCAGAAGAAGAUACCAAUCCCUCCAUUACCCUCUAAACUGCCACCUGUUAAUCUGAUUCACCGGGACAUUCUGCGGGCCUGGUGCCAACAAUUGAAGCUGAGCUCCAAAGGCCAGAAAUUGGAUGCAUAUAAGCGCCUGUGUGCCUUUGCCUACCCAAAUCAAAAGGAUUUUCCUAGCACAGCAAAAGAGGCCAAAAUCCGGAAAUCAUUGCAAAAAAAAUUAAAGGUGGAAAAAGGGGAAACGUCCCUGCAAAGUUCUCAGACACAUCCUUCUGAAGUGGCUCUUCCCCCUGCGGGGGGGCCGCCUGCCCUGGAAGAUUCCACUCCUCUCCUUGAGGGAGUUAAUACAGUUGUGGUGACAACUUCUGCCCCAGAGGCUUUGCUGGCCUCCUGGGCGAGAAUUUCAGCCAGGGCGAGGACGCCAGAGGCAGUGGAAUCUCCACAAGAGGCCUCUGGUAAGCGCAACAUGAAGAGCUUAUUCUGGUCCAAUGGGGAAAUAAGCUUAGUAGAUAGUAAUUCCUGAUACAUUUUAGGGUAUAUCAAAAUCCCUUUGAGGGCCGGUAAUUCCUGGACCCUGCCCACAGAGUUUCUGAUUCAGGUCUAGGGCAGGACCUGAGCGUUUGCAUUUCUUUUUUUUUUUGAGACAGAGUUUCGCUCUUGUUGCCCAGGCUAGGGUGCAGUGGCACGAUCUCAGCUCACCGCAACCUCCACCUCCCGGGUUCAAGCAAUUCUGCCUCAGCCUUCCUGAGUAGCUGGGAUUACAGGCAUGCGCCACCAUGCCCGGCUAAUUUUGUGUUUUUAGUAGAGAUGGGGUUUCUCCAUGUUGGUCAGGCUGGUUUCGAACUCCUGACCUCAGAUGAUCCGCCCACCUUGGCCUCCCAAAGUGCUGGGAUUACAGGCGUGAGCCAUCGCACCCGGCAAGAGUUUGCAUUUCUAACAGUUUCCCAGGCAGUACUAAGGAUGC